GCGUCGUUAGCUCAAUUGGCAGAGCAAGGGAUUUUUAAUCCCGAGGUUGUAGGUUCGACUCCUAUACGGCGUA
rnacentral:tRNA from 1 species